rnacentral:rRNA from 1 species
GACGAACGCUGGCGGCGUGCUUAACACAUGCAAGUCGAGCGGUAAGGCCCUUUUGGGGGUACACGAGCGGCGAACGGGUGAGUAACACGUGGGUGACCUGCCCUCAGCUCUGGGAUAAGCCUGGGAAACUGGGUCUAAUACUGGAUAUGACCUUUCCUCGCAUGGGGUUGGGUGGAAAGUUUUUCGGCUGGGGAGUGGGCCCGCGGCCUAUCAGCUUGUUGGUGGGGUGAUGGCCUACCAAGGCGACGACGGGUAGCCGGCCUGAGAGGGCGACCGGCCACACUGGGACUGAGACACGGCCCAGACUCCUACGGGAGGCAGCAGUGGGGAAUAUUGCGCAAUGGGCGGAAGCCUGACGCAGCGACGCCGCGUGGGGGA